rnacentral:misc_RNA from 1 species
GACAUGUGUUGCUGAAUCUAAAAUUAUUAUGAUGAGUUCUUUACACUCCAUCGGUCGUAAAUUCAUUGUUACAGGAUAACAAUAUAAAUAUACCCCCGGUGGCAUUCAGGUAAUACCGUUGUUGAUGGAGGACAAUGUUUGGGUCGUAAAGCUUUGCCGCCAGAUCUCUUUCAACCAAACUUUCUUACAUAAAUCAGGCUCAUGCAACACAUGUCCAGUGCCAAGCAAAUGAGUCAGAAACUAUGAUUAGCUGAGCAAGUCAAAACACACACAAUACAUGCCAAACACGCUGUGACAAUCACCAGCUUCACUUUAUCUUCAUUCCUUGCGCUUAACAAAACGAGGGGACCGACGAACUGAUGCAGGGGACAAAAUUGAUGGUUUAGCCCCUCUUCCAAGAUUAACUUUUCUUGACUGUCUUUUUACUUCAUGUGGAUACACAUUUUCCUUCACAGGAGAGUCACUUGUGUCAGUUGAAACUGACAUAGCUGGAGCAGACGCAGAUAUUGUUGCAGACUCUUGAUGAAGAGUUGAGGAUUGAUGAAGAGUUGAGGAUUGAAGCAAAGUUCCUCCAAGUGAUGCAGCUUCUUGAAACUUCUCUCUCAUUAUUCUAACAAAUUUGAAUAAGCCGUUGGUUCUAUUCAACUCGCGGAGCAAGUCUUUGGUGUCAUUCAAGUGGGGUUUACAAGCCAACAAAGAAUAUGUAUCCUCUUCAUGGCGAAUGGUAAAAUUGUACUCCUCAUAUGGAUUGCUCACAUUGAUGUAGUUGAAUGUGAAUUUCACCCCUCUUCCACCUUCAAUUUGGAAACCAAGAACCUUAUUAUACCAUAAUAUCGCCUCUUGAAUUUCUCCUAUAUGUUCAAUGUCUCGGUUUCCCUUUUCAACAGAUUGUUGGGAAAUAAUUGCUGCAUAUUCAUCCCUCCUAGCCCUCUGAACUUGCAAAGUUCUUUCAAGUUCUUCUAUUCUAGCUCUCGUAGCAGAAAUGGAGUCCCUUAUAGCCAACUGUUUAGCCUCCUUACGAGUCUUCACCGCCAGCACUUUAAAAAAGUCAUCCUCAGCUUCCCGCAAGCUAGAUUUCAACUUGCCUAAUUUCCC